UGUUGUCCAUUUUUAAAUGUAGAUAUACUCUUACCCUCUACACAGCGGCAGCCAGACUGCAGCACCCAGGCGUACAUGUCGGUCUUGGAGUGGGAGAGGAGCUGGUCUCCAGUCAGGAAGUUGGCCAGCUCCUCGGGUGUCAGGUGGUCUUUCCUGUCGCUGUACGCCAUCAUCAGCAGGAACAGGUCGCGUCUCAUUGACAUCAUCCUGUAGAAGACGGAGAACUCUUCGUACGUCAGUGUGCCCUGCUGGUCAUCCGUGUCAGCUUCCUGUGAGGUUGGGGAAAAGAUACAUCACAAGUACAUCAGCAGCUAUUAUAAAAUGACAGGUUGAGUGAAAGUGGACACAACGUUAUAGCUUAUAGCAGGAUAUUGGUCGUGUGUGCGCUGCCGUUUGGCCAGCGAGUCCUCGUCACUGAUGCCAGCCAUCAGGUAACGGAGGCCGGUGAUCCAGGUUCUGGCUUCCUCUGCAUUUGACGUCACCAGGUCGAGGGACUCCAUGUGGUUUCCAUGGUACACUGUGAAACAGCAGGCCGGAUCGAAGCUGCCAUCUGCAUGCCGAUGGAAGACGUCUGAUUGGCCACCCUCCGUCACUUUGUACAGCGAGUCGAUGGUGACUGAUGGGAAGAGUAAAAGAAAAGUUUGGUUGUGGUCAAAAUGAUUUAAAAUACUUUUUAUGAAUCUAUAACUUAUGAGUUCUGUCUAAAUGAUGAACAUGGGCAAUGUAGUGUGUUUAGGCUCAAUCUGACACACUGUCUUGCUGCUUUGCGGAACACAUAGACAAUAUACAAGAGUGGAUUCGAUGAUGUCACCCAUUGUCAAGCCACUGUAA